rnacentral:rRNA from 1 species
GAUGAACGCUAGCUACAGGCUUAACACAUGCAAGUCGAGGGGAAACGAUAGAGAAAGCUUGCUUUUUCUAGGCGUCGACCGGCGCACGGGUGAGUAACGCGUAUCCAACCUGCCCAUCACUUGGGGAUAACCUUGCGAAAGUAAGACUAAUACCCAAUGACGUCUCUAGAAGACAUCUGAAAGAGAUUAAAGAUUUAUCGGUGAUGGAUGGGGAUGCGUCUGAUUAGCUUGUUGGCGGGGUAACGGCCCACCAAGGCGACGAUCAGUAGGGGUUCUGAGAGGAAGGUCCCCCACAUUUGAACUGAGACACGGGCCAAACUCCUACGGGAGGCAGCAGUGAGGAAUAUUGGUCAAUGGGCGAGAGCCUGAACCAGUCAAGUAGCGUGCAGGAUGACGGCCCUAUGGGUUGUAAACUGCUUUUAUAAGGGAAUAAAGUGAGUCUCGUGAGACUUUUUGCAUGUACCUUAUGAAUAAGGACCGGCUAAUUCCGUGCCAGCAGCCGCAGUAA